CCUACGGGAGGCAGCAGUGGGGAAUAUUGGACAAUGGGCGAAAGUCUGAUCCAGCCAUGCCGCGUGUGUGAAGAAGGCCUUCGGGUUGUAAAGCACUUUCAGUGGGGAAGAAAGCCUUGGGGCUAAUACCCUCGAGGAAGGACAUCACCCACAGAAGAAGCACCGGCUAACUCCGUGCCAGCAGCCGCGGUAAUACGGAGGGUGCGAGCGUUAAUCGGAAUUACUGGGCGUAAAGCGCGCGUAGGCGGUCUGAUAAGCCGGUUGUGAAAGCCCCGGGCUCAACCUGGGAACGGCAUCCGGAACUGUCAGGCUAGAGUGCAGGAGAGGAAGGUAGAAUUCCCGGUGUAGCGGUGAAAUGCGUAGAGAUCGGGAGGAAUACCAGUGGCGAAGGCGGCCUUCUGGACUGACACUGACGCUGAGGUGCGAAAGCGUGGGUAGCAAACAGGAUUAGAUACCCGAGUAGUC
rnacentral:rRNA from 1 species